rnacentral:lncRNA from 1 species
GAUCCUCUGGAAUUCCAGCAGAGCUGUGAUCACAGAGGGAUCCUCUGGAAUUCCAGCAGAGCUGUGGCCAUGGUGGGAUCCUGUGGAAUUCCAGCAGAGCUGUGGUCACACAGGGAUCCUCUGGAAUUCCUUCCAGCAGAGCUGUGGUCACAGAGGGAUCCUGUGGAAUUCCAGCAGAGCUGUGGCCAUGGUGGGAUCCUCUGGAAUUCCAGCAGAGCUGUGGUCAUGGUGGGAUCCUCUGGAAUUCCAGCACAGCUGUGACCACAGAGGGAUCCUCUGGAGCCCUUCCAGCAGAGCACAAGGCGAGGGUGGGAAUCGCCAUCNCCCAGGGCUUGCAGAGUCACCAGGCCGAGUCACCCAAAGGCCACAGGGCUUUGUCCAGCUGUGCCACGCCCUGGGCACACUCUGGGGACACUGGAGCCAGCCCCACCGAGGCUCCCAUGGCUGGCUGUGGGUGUGCAGCUCCUGGCAACAGCCAGAGCUGGAAAUCUGGAAAUCUCCACUCCCUUCCAGAGGCUCCAUCUGCAGCUGAAGGGACAGGGAAAUGUGGGACAAGGAGGUGACACCCAGGGCAGCAAUGGCAUCGCUGUCCCCUGGACAAUGGCACACGGAGGUCACCUCUGUCACCUCCUGGUGGGACAAACUCGCUGGUGGGGAGUGGAGGAGUGGAUUGGAAUGGUGGUGGGUGAGAGGGGGAAGGCAGGAGGGAUCUGAGGGUUGAGUCCUGCCCAGCAGCUGCAGGGACAGCACUUGGUGUCCUGCACGGCUCUCGGGGGAAGGGAAGCUGGUGGGGCAGCUCUGGUGUCCCUGGGAUGGUGGCAUGGGGACAUCCCUGUGAUGGAUGGAGGGAGGGACCCCUGGCUCUCCUGGGCCAGCCAAGGGCAGCUCAGGGAGGAUUUCAGGUGGGGAAUGUCCUCUGGAAACAGGGAAUUCCUGCCCAGGGUGGUGAGGUUGGAAGGGACCUGGAGCAGUUACUCCGGGACGUGGCCAGGUGGGUUUGGGAUGUGCCAGGGAAGGAGCCUCCAGCGCUGUUCUGGGCAGGCUGCUCUCUGCUGGCGGCCUGGUCCCUGCUGCCCUCGGUGCUCCUGCACUCAGGACAGGGCAGGAAGGCACAGGGAGGGAAUGGGGACACCCAGAGGGAAGCAGGGGCUGGGCAGAGCUCAGCUCCCUCAGCAGCCGUGUCCCAUCCACUCGUGGCUGUGCUGGGCCAUCCACUGCCCUUCCCAGCCGGCCUGACACCCCUGCACUGCCCAGGGGAUCUCUCCUUCCAUCUAACACUGCCCUGCCUGGGGCUCUCCCCAUUGCCCUCUGCUCCUGCCUUCCUCCCCAUCUGUGCCCCACAACUGCCAUUCUGUGCCCCACAACACCCUGCUCUGUGCCCCAUAACAAACACCCUGCUCUGUGCCCCAUAACAAACACCCUGCUCUGUGCCCCACAACACCCUGCUCUGUGCCCCACAACACCCUUUCUGUGCCCCAUAACAAACACCCUGCUUUGUGCCCCAUAACCAGCCCCCUGCUCUGUGCCCCAUAACAAACACCCUGCUCUGUGCCUCCAGGACCUUUGUCCCUUGUCCCCCAGCCUGGCACCUUGGCAGCCUGGCACCUUGCUCUGAGGACUGAGCUCCCUGCCCUGGCAGCAGCCAUGCCCAGCCUGGCCGGAGGGAGCAGGGGAAGGUGUUGAGGAGUGACAGACCCAC